UACGUAGGGAGCAAGCGUUGUCCGGAAUCAUUGGGCGUAAAGCGCGCGUAGGCGGCCCUGUAAGUCCGUUGUGAAAGUCAAAGGCUCAACCUUUGAAAGCCGAUGGAUACUGCAGGGCUAGAGUCCGGAAGAGGCGAGUGGAAUUCCUGGUGUAGCGGUGGAAUGCGCAGAUAUCAGGAGGAACCCCAAUAGCGAAGGCAGCUCGGUGGGACGGUACUGACGCUAAGGCGCGAAAGCGUGGGGAGCGAACAGG
rnacentral:rRNA from 1 species